GAGGGUAUGGCUUAGUGGUAGAGCACAUGCUUAGCAUGCACGAGGUCCUGGGUUCAAUCCCCAGUACCUCCA
rnacentral:tRNA from 1 species